CUCCGAUACCCGGUCAGCCGGUCAGCCCUGCGGGGACUCUGGCGGGCUGGGAGGUGCCGCCCUCCCGUACGAAACUUCCUGUCGGCCAUGUUGUCGCCCGCGGCAUGCUGGGAUAUGUAGUACUCCGGUACCCGGACAGCCGGUCAGCGCUGCGAGGACUCUGGCGGGCUGGGAGGUGCCGCCCUCCCGUACGGGACUUCCGGUCGGCCAUGUUGGCCAGGCGGCGCGCGGGGGGGGUGCGGUCGGCUGGUGCCGGACCCCGUGCCGGCCAUGUUGGGCCCCUCGGCGUGCUGUGGCGCGUCGUCUGUGGGAGGCCUCCAAGCGGCCGUUCUGGGCCGCGGGUGUGCUGCGGGCCGCAGCCCCCCCGCCUUGCGUGGCAGCAGCCCCUGGGAGCGGUUGGAUGGCGGGGCUGGGCAGGUAUCACCUGGCUGAGGAUUCCAGCUUCUCUCAGAAGAUCCUGGCUCACCCAUGGGAUCUUCGAUACUUGCUGGAGCUCUGGUGCAUCUCAUGAGACUUUCUGGUGA
rnacentral:lncRNA from 1 species